GGAAUUGUGCCUGAAUAAAGGACCACUUUGAUAGAGUGUAUCACAAGGGUUAAAAUCCCUUCAACUCCU
rnacentral:tRNA from 1 species